GGCCUCUCUCCCAUAGAGCUGGGGGAGGUCCCUUUUCUCCUCAGCCAGGACUGGAGACCAGGAUCAGCCCUCCAGAUCACUGUUGGGGCUGCCAUGAACUGGGCAGCCUUGUUUACCCACCUCAGACAUUU